rnacentral:rRNA from 1 species
UACAGAGGUCUCAAGCGUUGUUCGGAUUCAUUGGGCGUAAAGGGUGCGUAGGUGGCAAGGUAAGUCGGGUGUGAAAUCCCGGGGCUCAACCCUGGAACUGCAUUCGAUACUGCCGUGCUUGAGGACUGGAGAGGAGACUGGAAUUUACGGUGUAGCGGUGAAAUGCGUAGAUAUCGUAAGGAAGACCAGUGGCGAAGGCGGGUCUCUGGACAGUUCCUGACGCUGAGGCACGAAGGUCAGGGGAGCAAACGGG